UACAGAGGGUGCAAACGUUGCUCGGAAUUACUGGGCGUAAAGCGCGUGUAGGCUGACAUGCAAGUCGGGUGUGAAAUCCCAGGGCUCAACCUUGGAACUGCAUUCGAAACUGCUUCGCUUGAGUACCGGAGAGGAUGGCGGAAUUCUCGGUGUAGAGGUGAAAUUCGUAGAUAUCGAGAGGAACAUCGGUGGCGAAGGCGGCCAUCUGGACGGUAACUGACGCUGAGACGCGAAAGCGUGGGGAGCAAACAGG
rnacentral:rRNA from 1 species